rnacentral:rRNA from 1 species
CCUGAUCCAGCCAUGCCGCGUGUGUGAAGAAGGCCUUUUGGUUGUAAAGCACUUUAAGCGAGGAGGAGGCUACUUGGAUUAAUACUCUAGGAUAGUGGACGUUACUCGCAGAAGAAGCACCGGCUAACUCUGUGCCAGCAGCCGCGGUAAUACAGAGGGUGCGAGCGUUAAUCGGAUUUACUGGGCGUAAAGCGUGCGUAGGCGGCUUUUUAAGUCGGAUGUGAAAUCCCUGAGCUUAACUUAGGAAUUGCAUUCGAUACUGGGAAGCUAGAGUAUGGGAGAGGAUGGUAGAAUUCCAGGUGUAGCGGUGAAAUGCGUAGAGAUCUGGAGGAAUACCGAUGGCGAAGGCAGCCAUCUGGCCUAAUACUGACGCUGAGGUACGAAAGCAUGGGGAGCAAACAGGAUUAGAUACCCUGGUAGUCCAUGCCGUAAACGAUGUCUACUAGCCGUUGGGGCCUUUGAGGCUUUAGUGGCGCAGCUAACGCGAUAAGUAGACCGCCUGGGGA